rnacentral:rRNA from 1 species
GUAGGUGAAAGCUUACAUCUCUUCGGAGCAUUUUACGUAGGUGCUGCAUGGUUGUCGUCAGCUCGUGCCGUGAGGUGCGGUUAAGUCCCAUAACGAGCGCAACCCUACCUUUAGUUGCCAUCAGGUAAUGCUGGGGACUCUAAAGGAACUGCCUACGCAAGUAGUGAGGAAGGCGGGGAGUGACGUCAAAUCAGCACGGCCCUUACGUCCAGGGCUACACACGUGCUACAAUGGCCGAUACAGAGGGCAGCUACCUGGUGACAGGAUGCAAAUCUCCAAAGUCGGUCUCAGUUCGGAUCGGAGUCUGCAACCCGACUCCGUGAAGUUGGAUUCGCUAGUAAUCGCGCAUCAGCCAUGGCGCGGUGAAUACGUUCCCGGGCCUU